rnacentral:rRNA from 1 species
GACGAACGCUGGCGGCGUGCUUAACACAUGCAAGUCGAACGGUAAGGCCCUUCGGGGUACACGAGUGGCGAACGGGUGAGUAACACGUGGGGGAUCUGCCCUGCACUUCGGGAUAAGACUGGGAAAGUGGGUCUAAUACCGGAUAGGACCCUGGGAUGCAUGGCCUGGGGUGGAAAGCUUUUGCGGUGUGGGAUGGGCCCGCGGCCUAUCAGCUUGUUGGUGGGGUGAUGGCCUACCAAGGCGACGACGGGUAGCCGGCCGGAGAGGGUGACCGGCCACACUGGGACUGAGAUACGGCCCAGACUCCUACGGGAGGCAGCAGUGGGGAAUAUUGCACAAUGGGCGCAAGCCUGAUGCAGCGACGCCGCGUGAGGGAUGACGGCCUUCGGGUUGUAAACCUCUUUCAGCACCGACGAAGCGCAAGUGACGGUAGGUGCAGAAGAAGGACCGGCCAACUACGUGCCAGCCGCCGCUGUAA